UGGGGAAUAUUGGACAAUGGGCGAAAGCCUGAUCCAGCAAUGCCGCGUGAGUGAUGAAGGCCUUAGGGUUGUAAAGCUCUUUUACCCGGGAAGAUAAUGACCGUACCGGGAGAAUAAGCCCCGGCUAACUCCGUGCCAGCAGCCGCGGUAAUACGGAGGGGGCUAGCGUUAUUCGGAAUUACUGGGCGUAAAGCGCGCGUAGGCGGUUUUUCAAGUCAGAGGUGAAAGCCUGGAGCUCAACUCCAGAAUUGCCUUUGAAACUGGAUCACUAGAGUCUUGGAGAGGUCAGUGGAAUUCCGAGUGUAGAGGUGAAAUUCGUAGAUAUUCGGAAGAACACCAGUGGCGAAGGCGACUGACUGGACAAGUACUGACGCUGAGGUACGAAAGCAUGGGGAGCAAA
rnacentral:rRNA from 1 species